rnacentral:rRNA from 1 species
CGCUGGCGGCACGCCUUAUACAUGCAAGUCGAACGAAGUAGCAAUACUUAGUGGCAGACGGGUGAGUAACAUGUAGGUACCUUCCCUUUGGUGAGGAAUAACACGAGGAAACUUGUGCUAAUACCUCAUAAGUCUUUACGGAGAAAGCUUUAUGCGCCGAAGGAUGGGCCUGCACUUGAUUAGUUUGUUGGUGGGGUAAUGGCCUACCAAGACUUUGAUCUAUAGCUGAUCUGAGAGGAUGAUCAGCCACAUUGGGACUGAGACACGGCCCAAACUCCUACGGGAGGCAGCAGUAGGGAAUAUUGCACAAUGGAGGAAACUCUGAUGCAGCGAUGCCGCGUGAGUGAAGAAGGCCUUUGGGUUGUAAAGCUCUUUCGUCGGGGAAGAAAAUGACUGUACCCGAAUAAGAAGGUCCGGCUAACUUCGUGCCAGCAGCCGCGGUAAUACGAAGGGACCUAGCGUAGUUCGGAAUUACUGGGCUUAAAGAGUUCGUAGGUGGUUAAAAAAGUUGGUGGUGAAAUCCCAGAGCUUAACUCUGGAACUGCCAUCAAAACUUUUUAGCUAGAGUAUGAUAGAGGAAAGCAGAAUUUCUAGUGUAGAGGUGAAAUUCGUAGAUAUUAGAAAGAAUACCAAUUGCGAAGGCAGCUUUCUGGAUCAUUACUGACGCUGAGGAACGAAAGCAUGGGUAGCGAAGAGGAUUAGAUACCCUCGUAGUCCAUGCCGUAAACGAUGUGUGUUAGACGUUGGAAAUUUAUUUUCAGUGUCGCAGCGAAAGCAUUAAACACACCGCCUGGGGAGUACGA